ensembl:lncRNA
GGCCCCAAAUCCCACAGAAUUCAAACACUUGCAAAAUGUUUAAUGGGAGAAAGAUAUUAACAAAGGUGAUUUUGUUAAUCCAUAAUCCUGAGGACAAAUAUAUUGACGGGAGGUACUGAUUUGGCUGUCAAGGUGUUUGGGCAGAUCUGUGAUUAUUAUAAUCAUUGGUUUGAACUAAUUUUCCUUUUCUUUUUUUCUUUCAUAUAAGAAAUUAAGAAAAUAGUAAAGGUCAAAUGUGUUCAAAUAAAUAAACUGCCCAAUUUGCUGAAAAUAGGAUCUAGUUUUUAACUUAGUUUGUGUUCUUUGUGUUAGUUUUCUACCAUGGAAUAUGGUUGAACUUGAACAAGACGUGAUAUGUCUCCUUGUUUUACCAUUGUAGGAUCAAAUUUUCACUUGCUGUCAAAAUUCUGUGGGCUUCUUCAUCAAAAAUCUUGUAAAUUGUUUACUUAUUUCAACGAUGUAGGCAUCUAUAAAAUGAACAAAAUCAAGAACUUUGAAAAUAUAUGCAAGUUAAAAAUGGAUGAAAGUUUUAGCUAAGAAAAAUUAAGCUGUCAGAAGUGUUUCUUUUACAAGUUUGUUUCAGUGCCGCACCUCAUGUCUGGGCACAGGCUAAUGUGUUCUGAUGAACUUCAACAGAAAGUGUAGGAGGCCCAUGAGGAUGGCAAUCAGAAGCACGUGUGCUUCCAACUUCUACAUGUCAUGAAGCAUAUACCUUUUCCUGUUAAACCAGUUUUUUUGGAAGAGAGCAUAGCCUUGUGGAAAGAGUUCUCUACUUGGAAUCAGGAGACCCAAGAAAACUAGUUUCAAGCCUGGAUAUUCCCCUUUUUGUCUUCGUGCUUCUUGUUCAAGUUAGUAACUUUUAUGAAUUAGGUAAAGUAAUAUUCACCUCAAAUAAUGGUGUGAGAAUUAAAUGAGAUAACGUAUGUGAAAGAAACUGGCACAUUAUGGACACUCAGAAAAAAAUGCUGCUUUCCUUCAUUCAUCAAAUAUGUUUGCAAACAAACACUGAGAGCUAAUGAUCUCAAAAUUUUUGUGUUCUCUGGCUUUGAACACCACCAUUAUGAAUACUUUCCUUUUCUUUCUUUUUUUGUUUUUCAGUAAGUGUCUUCAUCAUUCCACAAAUGUUUAUUGAGGAUAACUAAGUGUCAAUCACUGUGAUAGUUGGUGGUUAAACAAAAUACUAUGGUCCUUAUCUUCACAGAAGUAAGAGUUAAGAGGGAAAGCAAAGAAUGAUGAAAUGAAGGAAAGUGUAUAUAAUUAAAAAGUAUAGAAAUUAUUGAAAAGGAAAAAAACCCCAGGUACAACAAUAGAUAAUAAUGAGGAAAACCUCACUGAGAUAGCAUUACACAAAAGACUUCUCCCUUGAGGUCACAUUUGAACCAUGGAAAAAGUGACAUCUUGAUUGAGACUAAAAGAGGAAAAGGAGAGAGCUAUGGUAAUACAGGAGUAAAAGCAUUUUGAGAGUGGGAGCACCAUGUUUAAACUUGGAAAAGAACCUGGUGAUUCAAGGAACUUAAAUCUGGUUGGUGUGCUGCAGGACAAUGGUGAGCAAGGCAGAGAAUAACAUGACAGGGGCUUAGGAGGCAGCAGGGGACAAAUUAUACAGGAUAGGGGGCAUGGAAGGCAUUUAUGCAUUAUCUAAAAGGCAAUAGGAAGCCACUAAAGAAUUUUAACUGGAGGAGUAACAGAAUUUAAUUUAAAUUUUUAAGGAGUACUGUAGCUGUGGUAUAGAGAAUGAAUUAGAGGGGAAAAGAACGGAAGCAGAGGACAAGAUAGAAGGCAAUUGCAGGAGUUCCGAGAAGAGGUAGUUGUUUAGACCGCAGUAGUUGCACUGGAGAAAAAGAGAAGUACAUGGGAUUAAGAAUUGACAGUAGUUGAUGAUAUAUUUGAUGUGGAGAGAUGGAAAGGGAGAAUUAGGAGUCAAGGAUGAUAUUCUAUGCGUCUUUGAUAAUGCAGAGGGAAGGACCAUUUACUAAAAUGGAAAAGACUAGAGGAAGAAUUAUUUUGGUUGGUGUGAAGAUCAAGAAUUCAAUUUUGGACAUGUUGGAGAUGCAAAAUUCUCCUGCUAAAAAUGUUUAUAUAUGCUGGAUAGACUACAACAACAUUUACAUGUAUGGCUGAGCUUUCAAUAAGUAAAAUGGAAAUUCCCAAGAGCUGGAAAUUCAUAUGAGAAUUAAACUAAAGAAAUAAGCACAUGAGCUGAUUUUGUGACUAUUCUGGGACAGCUUGGCCAUCUUAAUCAUCUAGGGACUUGGGUUUUCAUAACCAUACAGGAAUGGAAGCUGAGACCUUAAGGCUACAUGAGGUGAGAAACUGGAGCAAAGAUAUCUGCAUA